AACGGCCAUACCAUGCUGAAUAUACCGGUUCUCGUUAGAUCACCGAAGUUAAGUUGUGUGGGUGACCACCUGGGAACACUGCGUGCCGUU